UACAAUGGAGAGUUUGAUCCUGGCUCAGGAUGAACGCUGGCGGUAUGCCUAACACAUGCAAGUCGAACGGUCACUUUCGG
rnacentral:rRNA from 1 species